rnacentral:lncRNA from 1 species
UUCUUUUUGACAUUUUUUUUAAAAUCGAAUGUUUAAUUUAAGAAGCAUGUAACACUGGGAUUAGUUGAAAAAAACUUCUCUACUGAUACCCAUGUGAGUGGGAAUUAUUAAUUUGUACGUGGUAUUGAUUCUUGUUUUUCAAGUUUUUUUUUAUAAAUUUUUUAAAAUUGUCUUUUUUCUUUCAAGUGUUACAAAUAUAAUGCGAACUGUGUUGAACAUCUCUCUACUGGCGCAAUUUGUUGCACCUAUAUCUCUUAUAAAGCACAAUACUCUUUGAAGUUCCAUUGUGAGAUUGGAAACUUGAAAUUUGUAGUACCUAGAAUGAGUUUUCCAGUCCUCAGAUGCCCUUGGUGUUACUGAUUUAUUGGUCACAAGUUCUUUUCUGUUAAACAUGUGCUCUUGAUUGCUCAUUUUGUUGAGUUGAGUCUCUUAUCUGGAUAUAUAUUGUCGUCUUUUAUUGGUUAUGUUAUCAAUUCAUUAUCCCCCAACUGUCAGGUCAUCAAAGAAUUAAAAUUAAAAAAAAUUAUCCGAUGUUAUCCUAUGAAGCAUCAAACACAGUAUAACUUAGUCAGACUAUUUAUCUGAAAUAUUACUAAAUGCCUUAUAAUAUUAUGAAUAAAUAAUUAAUACUCUUCGAAACAAAUUAAUAUUAUCUGACAUAAAUUAAUCAAUACAAUAUGAUGUACUAAACCAACCCUUUAGAGGGAGUAACAAGUUCCCAUCUAAAUGAACCCCUUCCUAUAUGAUAGGACAACGCCCGACGAAAAUGAAAAGUAAUUCAUUUGAGUUUGGGAUAGGGUUAAGCUUCAGGGUUGUUUUGGGAUCCAUUGUCUACGACGGGCCUAAAAGUCUGAGGUCUAUGUUUUUAGGCCCAGAUUGGGAGUUCAUGCUUAAAGGGCCUUAGGCUCGGGAUCAUGUGUCUAGGGUUUGGGGUUUCAAGUUUAGAAUUCACGGUUUGGAGUUGGGAUAUUCUUUUUUUUUUCUUUUUUUUUCUCUACAACAAGAGUGAAAUCAAAAGGGGAAAAUUUCACCUGAUGAAAUGCAUAAUUAUUUCUUUGAGACGUGAAUAACAUCUCCUUGUCAUGUUGCAUCUUUCUUUCUAUACAAUGCCGCAUUUAUAUUUUACCAAUGCAUGUGGCCUAAUUACCGCCCAUUUGUCAUUAAAUCAAAUAAUUUACCUUACAUUUCUGUUAUCAUCGAUUAGAUUAGAGUGUUACUAUUUUCACUCUCUAUUAUAUUCUCCCACUCAUCUUAUCUUCCCACCCACUAUUAUUCCUAAAAAAUCCUUUAAUAAUUCAAGCAAACUUUCUUUACUAAUCAUUAGUAACAGUCUUGAUCUCUU